GGCUCCCCCUCUGCUCCGGCCGCCUCCUGCCCGGCCCCGGCCCCGGCCCCGGCCCCGGCGCUGCCCCGCUCCGAGCCCCGCAGCCGGCGGGCAGCAGAGGGGAGGGAGCCCGGCCCCGCGGGGGGAGCGCACGGGCCGGGCCGGGCCGGGCCAAGCGGGGCUGCGACCGCCGCCUCCCGCAGUGCCCGGCCCGGCCCGGCCCGGCCGGCUGCAAACGCCCCGGUCCCCCUGUCCCGCGGCUCCAGGACGUGGGGACAGACAGGCACGGACCCCGUGUUGUUAUAUUGGAGUAGACAUAGGUGCCUCUGUAUACAAGAGUCGCUGAGAUUUUCAUGAGGGGUGGGAGCUGCGGGUGACUCUUCUCGGGCUUGGAUGUGAGAUUGCAGCAGUUCCUGCAUCCCCUGGUGUGACAGAGCUGGCAGAUGGAGGCAAGGAUGGAGACAGAGCGUCCUGUGCUCUGGGGGCUCCUCCAGCCCCUCCUCAGCCACAUGAAGCCCUGGGCUCUCUUUGACUACUGGUUGCCCAACCCCCAUCGAGCCUAGUUUAAAGCUCUUGGGAGGAGAUCAGCCAAGCUGCGGGCAAACAGAUACUUACCUCUGGGGGAGAGAUGAAGAUCAUCAUCUCCCAGGAAGCCUCCUCCCUGCAAGUGCUGGUCAUGGCUGUAGAAUCCGAAGCUCUCCUGAAGACACCGACUCUGGAGCCGCCGGUUGACUUCUUUGAUGCAGGCACCCUGGCGUCUCCAGCUGCUGCCGACCGGAAGGAUGGAAGAAAAUACAACCUGUGCUCCAGUCUUCUUGAGGCUGUCUCCCAGUUCAUGGAAGUCCUUCAUGAUGCAGUCAGGGCUGGUCCUAGCCGCAUCGUUGGUUCCCACUUAUCCCAGAUCACCUGUUCCCUCUUAUCUGGGGUGACCUGUUUCUGCGCCUGGGCCACCCGUCAAAGUUCCUCCAAGCUGGGGUUUGAACUCCUGCCCAGCUAGGCAAUCAGCAGGGAGUUCAAGUGCUUCCCUAAGGGGUGACCCUUCCUCCACUGGGAUGUUCUCUAAUUCCUCCCUGAGAGCCUCGGCUUCCUCUGCCACUGACUGACUGGGCUCCUCCCUGGGGCUGUCACUUAGCUUGACCCCAGGGUCAUUGGUUCCCUCAGCAGUCAGCUGGUUGCUGCAGUCAGGGGGUCUCUUUCUUAUCCCCCUCUUGCCUCCACAGCCAACUGGGUUACUUGGCUCUGGGCGGUUUCCCUACCUCCCCUCCUCACCUUCUUGCUCUGCCAGCGAGUCACUACAUCAAUGCGGAGGGGAUCUAGGAAGUUUCCCCACGCUGCUCGCUUACGCUCCAGCUCUGUAAUAUCCCUCCCCACCAGCAUGGGGGCAGCAGCAUUUUCCAUUGCUUCUAUCUCCACUUCCAGUCCCUCCACCAGAUGGGGAGACGUGCUACCUGUACUUUGGAUGGCAUGGCAUUAAAAAAAACAGUUAAAAUAAAACAAAAUCAAAAUGUG